rnacentral:rRNA from 1 species
GACGGAGGAUGCAAGUGUUAUCCGGAAUCACUGGGCGUAAAGCGUCUGUAGGUGGUUGUUUAAGUCAACUGUUAAAUCUUGAGGCUCAACUUCAAAAUCGCAGUCGAAACUAUUCAACUAGAGUAUAGUAGGGGUAAAGGGAAUUUCCAGUGGAGCGGUGAAAUGCGUAGAUAUUGGAAAGAACACCGAUGGCGAAGGCACUUUACUGGGCUAUUACUAACACUCAGAGACGAAAGCUAGGGUAGCAAAUGGGAUUAGAUACCCCAGUAGUCCUAGCCGUAAACAAUGGAUACUAGAUGUUGAACAGAUCGACCUGUGCAGUAUCAAAGCUAACGCGUUAAGUAUCCCGC